CCUACGGGAGGCAGCAGUGGGGAAUAUUGGGCAAUGGGCGCAAGCCUGACCCAGCAACGCCGCGUGAAGGAAGAAGGCUUUCGGGUUGUAAACUUCUUUUGACCGGGAAGAGUAGAAGACGGUACCUGUCCAAUAAGCCACUGCUAACUACGUGCCAGCAGCCGCGGUAAUUCGUAGGUGGCAAGCGUUGUCCGGAUUUACUGGGUGUAAAGGGCGUGUAUCCGGGUUGACAAUUCAGGUGUGAAAUCCUGCGGCUUAACCGCAGAAGUGCAUUUGAAACUGUUGGUCUUGAGUACGGGAGAGGCAGACGGAAUUCCUAGUGUAGCGGUGAAAUGCGUAGAUAUUAGGAGGAACACCAGUGGCGAAGGCAGUAUGCUGGACAGCAACUGACGGUGAGGCGCGAAAGCGUGGGGAGCGAACAGGAUUAGAUACCCUAGUAGUC
rnacentral:rRNA from 1 species